rnacentral:rRNA from 1 species
AGGGUAAGUAAAGUGGCGCACGGGUGAGUAACGCGUGGGUAAUCUACCUUCGAAUUGGGGAUAACGUUGCGAAAGCGACGCUAAUACCGAAUAACAUCCAUUAACCUUCGGGUUUUUGGAUCAAGGGUGGCCUCUACAUGUAAGCUACUGUUUGAAGAUGAGCCCGCGUACCAUUAGCUUGUUGGUGGGGUAAAGGCCUACCAAGGCUUCGAUGGUUAGCUGGUCUGAGAGGAUGAUCAGCCACACUGGAACUGACACACGGUCCAGACUCCUACGGGAGGCAGCAGUGAGGAAUUUUGCGCAAUGGGGGAAACCCUGACGCAGCAACGCCGCGUGAGUGAUGAAGGCUUUCGGGUCGUAAAGCUCUGUCAAGUGGGAAGAACCUGCAGUAUGCUAAUAUCAUAUUGCACUGACGGUACCACUGAAGGAAGCACCGGCUAACUCCGUGCCAGCAGCCGCGGUAAUACGGGGGGUGCAAGCGUUAUUCGGAAUCAUUGGGCGUAAAGAGCACGUAGGCGGCCUGGUAAGUCAGAUGUGAAAGCCCUGGGCUUAACCCGGGAAGUGCAUUUGAUACUGUCAGGCUUGAGUAUGGGAGAGGGAAGUGGAAUUCCUGGUGUAGAGGUGAAAUUCGUAGAUAUCAGGAGGAACACCGGUGGCGAAGGCGACUUCCUGGACCAAUACUGACGCUGAGGUGCGAAGGCGUGGGUAGCAAACAGGAUUAGAUACCCUGGUAGUCCACGCAGUAAACGUUGUUCACUAGGUGUAGCGGGUAUUGACCCCUGCUGUGCCGCAGUUAACGCAUUAAGUGAACCGCCUGGGGAGUACGGCCGCAAGGUUAAAACUCAAAGGAAUUGACGGGGGCCCGCACAAGCGGUGGAGCAUGUGGUUUAAUUCGACGCAACGCGAAGAACCUUACCUGGAUUUGACAUCCCGGGAAUCCUAUCGAAAGACUGGAGUGCCCUUCGGGGAGCCCGGAGACAGGUGCUGCAUGGCUGUCGUCAGCUCGUGUCGUGAGAUGUUGGGUUAAGUCCCGCAACGAGCGCAACCCUUGUCUUUAGUUACCAUCAUUCAGUUGGGGACUCUAAAGAUACUGCCCCGGUCAACGGGGAGGAAGGUGGGGAUGACGUCAAGUCCUCAUGGCCUUUAUGUCCAGGGCUACACACGUGCUACAAUGGGCUGUACAAAGGGUCGCGAACCCGCGAGGGUAAGCCAAUCCCAAAAAGCAGUCCCAAGUUCGGAUUGGAGUCUGC